GAUGAACGCUGGCGGCGUGCCUAAUACAUGCAAGUCGAGCGAACGGACGAGAAGCUUGCUUCUCUGAUGUUAGCGGCGGGCGGGUGAGUAACACGUGGAUAACCUACCUAUAAGACUGGGAUAACUUCGGGAAACCGUAGCUAAUACCGGAUAAUAUUUUGAACCGCAUGGUUCAAAAGUGAAAGACGGUCUUGCUGUCACUUAUAGAUGGAUCCGCGCUGCAUUAGCUAGUUGGUAAGGUAACGGCUUACCAAGGCAACGAUGCAUAGCCGACCUGAGAGGGUGAUCGGCCACACUGGAACUGAGACACGGUCCAGACUCCUACGGGAGGCAGCAGUAGGGAAUCUUCCGCAAUGGGCGAAAGCCUGACGGAGCAACGCCGCGUGAGUGAUGAAGGUCUUCGGAUCGUAAAGCUCUGUUAUUAGGGAAGAACAUAUGUGUAAGUAACUGUGCACAUCUUGACGGUACCUAAUCAGAAAGCCACGGCUAACUACGUG
rnacentral:rRNA from 1 species